CAGUCGCCGCGGUAAUACGAAGGGUGCAAGCGUUAAUCGGAAUUACUGGGCGUAAAGCGUGCGUAGGCGGUGAGUUAAGUCUGCUGUGAAAUCCCCGGGCUCAACCUGGGAAUGGCAGUGGAUACUGGCUCGCUAGAGUGUGUCAGAGGAUGGUGGAAUUCCCGGUGUAGCGGUGAAAUGCGUAGAGAUCGGGAGGAACAUCAGUGGCGAAGGCGGCCAUCUGGGACAACACUGACGCUGAGGCACGAAAGCGUGGGGAGCAAACAGGAUUAGAUACCCCAGUAGUCCCUGUCUCUUAUAA
rnacentral:rRNA from 1 species